rnacentral:tRNA from 2 species
GCGCCGUUAGCUCAAUUGGCAGAGCAGCGGACUCUUAAUCCGCGGGUUCGGGGUUCAAGUCCCUGACGGCGCACCG